rfam:Lodderomyces elongisporus NRRL YB-4239 supercont1.2 genomic scaffold, whole genome shotgun sequence.
GCUCCAGUGGCCAAGUGGUAAGGCGUGUCACUCGUAAUGACAAGAGCGUCGGUUCGAUUCCGGUCUGGAGCA